rnacentral:rRNA from 1 species
CAGCCGCCGCGGUAAUACAGAGGGUGCGAGCGUUAAUCGGAUUUACUGGGCGUAAAGCGUGCGUAGGCGGCUUCUUAAGUCGGAUGUGAAAUCCCUGAGCUUAACUUAGGAAUUGCAUUCGAUACUGGGAAGCUAGAGUAUGGGAGAGGAUGGUAGAAUUCCAGGUGUAGCGGUGAAAUGCGUAGAGAUCUGGAGGAAUACCAAUGGCGAAGGCAGCCAUCUGGCCUAAUACUGACGCUGAGGUACGAAAGCAUGGGGAGCAAACAGGAUUAGAUACCCCCGUAGUCCCUGUCUCUUAUAA